UGAUAGUUCAACUGGCAGAGCAUGAGACUCUUGAUCUCAGGUUCAUGGGUUCGAGCCCCACGUUGGGCAAAA